rnacentral:rRNA from 1 species
GAUGAACGCUGGCGGCGUGCCUAAUACAUGCAAGUCGAACGCUGGAGCUCUAGCUUGCUAGAUCGAAGGAGUGGCGCACGGGUGAGUAAUACAUAAGCAACCUACCCACGAAGACUGGGAUAAUCUCUGGAAACGGGGACUAAUACCGGAUAGGUAAUCGGAAGGCAUCUUCUGGUUAUUAAAGGUUAAAAAUACUGGUGGAUGGGCUUAUGGCGCAUUAGUUAGAUGGUGCGGUAACGGCCCACCAAGACGAUGAAGCGUAGCCGGCCUGAGCGGGUGAACGGCCACAUUGGGACUGAGGCACGGCCCAGACUCCUACGGGAGGCAGCAGUAGGGAAUUUUCGGCAAUGGGGGCAACCCUGACCGAGCAACGCCGCGUGAGUGAAGACGGCCUUCGGGUUGUAAAGCUCUGUUGUAAGGGAAGAACGGUAGAUAGAGAAUAUCUAAGUGACGGUACCUUACCAGAAAGCCACGGCUAACUACGUG